rnacentral:lncRNA from 1 species
AACUGGUUAUGUGUUUUAUACGUAUGAACUACUUUUGUAUAUUAUUGUGUAUAUUCCAUUUUUGACAUUUCAUCUGUGCUUAAAGUUUGUCACUGUGAUUCGGUAAAAGAUGAAAAAAAAAAAUACUGGAACUUUAUUUGGAUGUCAAAAUUUCAGAGAUAUAUAUUGAGUAACAGAUGAUCGAUCAUAGAAUCUUUAUAAACUAUUUAGUAUAAAAGAGAUAUAAUUUAGGUUAAAAAUUUAUCAAUUCUUUUCGUAGAGUAAUAUUUACAUCUCCUUUUCAUUUUUACACAACAUUGAAGUAAAAAAAAAGUAAAUUGCUAAAUAAAAACCAAGGGAAUAAGUGUAAAAGAAGCUAAAUAUUUGAAGUAAUAAAAUGAACCCUUAUAUUAGAGGCAGAUUCAGUGCCAGUAGGAAGGAGAGUAGAAGUCUGCACAUGGUUAAAGUGGGAUACUAUAACAAAGCCACGUGGAAAACUCAUUUGGGAAAAUAUGAGGGUGUCAUUUUAAAUUAAAGAUACAAUAUAGGAGUGCAAAUAGCAAGAGUUAUUCCUUUUAUUUUUGUAUAAAGUGUUUCUCUUUUAACUGGCUGAUUUACAAACAAUACUUCUUGGGCUUCUUCUUCCUGCACCUCCAUACCUUUUUGUGCCACCCUAUAUGUUUUUUAUAUUCCAAAAAUACCAUUUUUUUAAUAUUCCAUAUUACAUAAUCCGAAAGUCUUUUUCUAGAUCCAGA